CCUACGGGUGGCAGCAGUGAGGAAUAUUGGUCAAUGGACGAGAGUCUGAACCAGCCAAGUAGCGUGAAGGAUGACUGCCCUAUGGGUUGUAAACUUCUUUUAUAUGGGAAUAAAACGUUCCACGUGUGGGAUUUUGUAUGUACCAUAUGAAUAAGGAUCGGCUAACUCCGUGCCAGCAGCCGCGGUAAUACGGAGGAUCCGAGCGUUAUCCGGAUUUAUUGGGUUUAAAGGGAGCGUAGGUGGAUUGUUAAGUCAGUUGUGAAAGUUUGCGGCUCAACCGUAAAAUUGCAGUUGAAACUGGCAGUCUUGAGUACAGUAGAGGUGGGCGGAAUUAGUGGUGUAGCGGUGAAAUGCUUAGAUAUCACGAAGAACUCCGAUUGCGAAGGCAGUUCACUGGACUGCAACUGACACUGAGGCUCGAAAGUGUGGGUAUCAAACAGGAUUAGAUACCCGUGUGGUC
rnacentral:rRNA from 1 species